UUUGCUGAAGAUGGUGCCCAGGGCACUGGAGAGGAUGGGGCUGCAACAGAAACACAAGAGACUGUUCAAGAAGCUCCGGCCCUGACACUAGACUGAGCAGGAGUAGAGGGGUCCCUGGACUUUCCUGAGGAAAAGCAGCCCACUGGGUGGAUCGAUGCCAUCCACACAUCACUUACAAUGUCCAACAUAUGGAACAUCUGGAACCUACCAUCAAGAUCCAUUUGUUACUCCUCCCAAAAUAAGAGUUACCCCCCAACCCCCCACUCCAAACCCACCUGUGUAUCAUUCCAUCUGUGACACCAAAUAAAAGGCCAGGGAAAGUUCUGGGCCAUUGUACACCA